ACUGACCCAGGUAAGGGAUGUAACUCAUGGACAUCAAACUGACCCAGGUAAGGGAUGUAACUCAUGGACAUCAAACUGACCAAGGUAAGGGACAAAACUCAUGGACAUCAAACUGACCCAGGUAAGGAAGUCACUUAGGAACAUCUUCAGAUUAUUACAGCAAUUUUAAUUACCAUUUACUAUAGACUUUAAACACACAUUCAAACCUUUUUAUUACCAUUACCAGACAGCGGUAGGCUCAUUUCCAUAUGUAUACAUGUUAGGUAUCCGACUCAAUGAGUGGCCAGACAGUGGUGGGCUCAUUUCCAUAUGUAUACAUGUUAGGUAUCCGACUCAAUGAGUGGCCACACAGUGGUGGGCUCAUUGCCAUAUGUAAAGAUGUUAGGUAUCCGACUCAAUGAGUGGCCAGACAGUGGUGAACUCAUUUCCAUAUGUUUACAUGUUAGGUUUCCGACUCGAUGAGUGGCCAGACAGUGGUGGGCUCAUUUCCAUAUGUAUACAUGUUAGGUAUCUGACUCAAUGAGUGGCCAGACAUUGGGGGGCUCAUUUCCAUAUGUUCACAUGUUAGGUAUCCGACUCUAUGAGUGGCCAGACAGUGGUGGGCUCAUUUCCAUAUGUAUACAUGUUAGGUAUCCGACUCAAUGAGUGGCCAGACAGUGGUGGGCUCAUUUUCAUAUGUAUACAUGUUAGGUAUCCGACUCUAUGAGUGGCCAGACAGUGGUGGGCUCAUUUCCAUAUGUAUACAUGUUAGGUAUCCGACUCUAUGAGUGGCCAGACAGUGGUGGGCUCAUGUCCAUAUGUUUACAUGUUAAGUAUCUGACUCAAUGAGUGGCCAGACAGUGGUGGGCUCAUUUCCAUAUGUUCACAUGUUAGGUAUCCGACUCAAUGAGUGGCCAGACAGUGGUGGGCUCAUUUCCAUAUGUUUACAUGUUAGGUAUCCAACUCAAUGAGUGGCCAGACAGUGGUGGGCUCAUUUCCAUAUGUUUACAUGUUAGGUAUCCGACUCAAUGAGUGGCCAGACAGUGGUGGGCUCAUUUAAAUAUGUUUACAUGUUAGGUAUCCGACUCAAUGAGUGGCCAGACAUUGAUGGGCUCAUUUCCAUAUGUUUACAUGUUAGGUAUCCAACUCAGUGAGUGGUCAGACAGUGGUGGGCUCAUUUCCAUAUGUUUACAUGUAAGGUAUCCGACUCAAUGAGUGGCCAGACAGUGGUGGGAUCAUUUCCAUAUGUUUACAUGUUUGGUAUCCGACUCAAUGAGUGGCCAGACAGUGGUGGGCUCAUUUCCAUAUGUAUACAUGUUAGGUAUCCGACUAAAUGAGUGGCCAGACAGUGGUGGGCUCAUUUCCAUAUGUUUACAUGUUAGGUAUCUGACUCAAUGAGUGGCCAGACAGUGGUGGGCUCAUUUCCAUGUUUACAUGUUAGGUAUCUGACUCAAUGAGUGGCCAGACAGUGGUGGGCUCAUUUCCAUAUGUUUACAUGUUAGGUAUCCGACUCAAUGAGUGGCCAGACAGUGGUGGGCUCAUUUCCAUAUGUUUACAUGUUAGGUAUCCGACUCAAUGAGUGGCCAGACAGUGGUGGGCUCAUUUCCAUAUGUUUACAUGUUAGGUAUCCGACUCAAUGAGUGGCCAGACAGUGGUGGGCUCAUUUCCAUAUGUUUACAUGUUAGGUAUCCGACCCAUUGAGUGGCCAGACAGUGGUGGGCUCAUUUCCAUAUGUUUACAUGUUAGGUAUCCGACUCAAUGAGUGGCCAGA